rnacentral:rRNA from 1 species
UUGCACGCUGGCGGCAGGCCUAACACAUGCAAGUCGAACGGUAACAGGAAGCAGCUUGCUGCUUCGCUGACGAGUGGCGGACGGGUGAGUAAUGUCUGGGAAGCUGCCUGAUGGAGGGGGAUAACUACUGGAAACGGUAGCUAAUACCGCAUAAUGUCGCAAGACCAAAGAGGGGGACCUUCGGGCCUCUUGCCAUCGGAUGUGCCCAGAUGGGAUUAGCUUGUUGGUGGGGUAACGGCUCACCAAGGCGACGAUCCCUAGCUGGUCUGAGAGGAUGACCAGCCACACUGGAACUGAGACACGGUCCAGACUCCUACGGGAGGCAGCAGUGGGGAAUAUUGCACAAUGGGCGCAAGCCUGAUGCAGCCAUGCCGCGUGUAUGAAGAAGGCCUUCGGGUUGUAAAGUACUUUCAGCGGGGAGGAAGGGAGUAAAGUUAAUACCUUUGCUCAUUGACGUUACCCGCAGAAGAAGCACCGGCUAACUCCGUG